rnacentral:misc_RNA from 1 species
UCUCCGUAGGUGAACCUGCGGAGGGAUCAUUACAAGUGACCCCGGUCUUACCACCGGGAUGUUCAUAACCCUUUGUUGUCCGACUCUGUUGCCUCCGGGGCGACCCUGCCUUCGGGCGGGGGCUCCGGGUGGACACUUCAAAUUCUUGCGUAACUUUGCAGUCUGAGUAAACUUAAUUAAUAAAUUAAAACUUUUAACAACGGAUCUCUUGGUUCUG